UUUAAACUAUAAUCAAUAUCAAUAAACUACAAAAUAUUGCUUAUAAUUCAUUCAA
rnacentral:misc_RNA from 1 species